rnacentral:rRNA from 1 species
UAUAACGACUCUCGGCAACGGAUAUCUCGGCUCUCGCAUCGAUGAAGAACGUAGCGAAAUGCGAUACUUGGUGUGAAUUGCAGAAUCCCGUGAACCAUCGAGUCUUUGAACGCAAGUUGCGCCCCAAGCCUUUAGGCCGAGGGCACGUCUGCCUGGGUGUCACCCAUCGUUGCCCCACCCCC